AAGCACUUUGCAGAGGGAAGUCAAAGUGUGCACUUCAGAUUUUAAAGAUGCACUUCUUGAGCUUCCUUCUUACCUUUGUCAUUGCAAUGACCUUAUCCAAUGCCCAGUGUAUUUAUCAACCCCUCCGAAAAAAGCUAGUAUUCAACAGAAAAGGCUGCUUUAGGGAUGGAGCGAUGCAUGAGUUUGGUGUCCACUGGUACAACAAGGAUUGCUUACGCUGUUAUUGCACCCGAGAAAUAGUGGUCUGUUGCAUCAAGUGAGUGG